UAUUUAGACAGACACACUAUAAAGGUCAAAUUCAUCACGAAACCAAAAGAAACUAAAGAAAGAUUGAAAAAUUACAGUUUCCACUGAAUCCAGCCGUUUGCCAGCAGUGUACAAAAGAUUGAGGUUAUCCAGAUAUCCAAACAGAGUGAAUUAUCUACACACACCACUGAGAUUACAUGAAAAUAACCAAUAUUUCUCAUAUUACGAAAACUAUCCGAUGAGAAAAACGAUUCUGUCAAGUGACGUUAAUAUGGCGCCAAAAUAUGACAUUAAAGAAUCGUUCGAAAUCCUAUUCGAUAAAAAUGGAAUGUUAUUUUUGACUUUACCAAAAAAUGAUGAAGAGAGAGUUUUAAAUAAUUUAAUGAACGAUGUAAUAAAAUACAAAGCUAAUGUAAACGAAAAAGCUUUGAGAACAAAGAUAGUUAAAUCGAAAGAUUCCAAUUUUGUUAUACGCACGAAAAAUAAAUUGUUAAAUGUGAACGACGAUGUGCCGCCUGUAAAUGCUUUUAAUUUUCAUGAUAUUGUUGGUUAAAUAAAAAAAAUCUCUUAAA